AUUCCCUCAUUACCAUCUUCAGCCAUGUCAUCCUCUUCACUACUUGAGGCUUCAGCCACAAUAUUGCAAAGACAUUUGCAAAAUGAGUUUUCGAGAAGAUUCCAUAAGCUCUGAGGAGGGGUUGCUUCGAAAGCCAUUACUGCCACCAAAAGGGAAAGAGAUUAAUCCUAAAAUGAGCUUUAGAGAUGAUUCAGCUAGCUCUGACGAAGGGCUUAUUAGGAAGCCACUGUUGCAUACUGGGAGUUGGUAUCGAAUGGGGUCAAGACAAUCCAGCAUGAUGGAAUCAUCGGCCCAAAUACUUCGUGAAUCAAUCUCCAUUUAUCUCUGUGUCCUCAUUGUUGCCUUAGGCUCCAUCCAAUUUGGCUUCACCUUGGGGUACACUAAUCCUACGCAGUCUGACAUCAUGGACGACCUCUUACUUUCAAUUUCAGAGUUUUCAAUCUUUGGAUCUUUAGCGAAUGUGGGUGCAAUGGUUGGUGCAAUUGCAAGUGGUCAGAUAUCUGAAUACAUUGGCCGAAAAGGGACACUAAUGAUUGCAUCAAUUCCUAAUAUUAGCGGAUGGCUUGCCAUUUCAUUUGCCAGAGACACGUCAUUUUUAUACAUGGGAAGAUUGAUGGAAGGAUUUGGUGUGGGCAUUAUUUCCUAUGUGGUACCUGUCUAUAUAGCGGAGAUUUCACCACAAAACAUGAGAGGAGUCCUUGGAUCCAUUAAUAAUCUUUGUUUAACAGUUGGGACAAUGUUGGCAUAUCUAUUGGGUCUGUUUACACCUUGGAGAGUGCUUGCAAUUUUAGGAAUGUUACCAUGCACAAUAUUGAUACCUGGUCUAUUUUUUAUACCGGAAUCUCCUCGUUGGUUGGCUAAAAUGGGAAAUUUUGAGGAUUUUGAAACUUCUUUGCAAGUUCUAAGGGGAUUUGACACUGACAUAUCCUUAGAAGUGAAUGAGAUCAAGAGAUCUGUGGGAUCAUCAAGUAAAAAAGCUACAAUUAGGUUCUCCGAGCUUAAGAGAAAGCGAUAUUACUAUCCUUUGCUGAUAGGUAUUGGAUUACUCACUCUCCAGCAACUCAGCGGAAUAAAUGGUGUCUUAUUCUAUUCCAGUAACAUCUUCAAAUCUGCUGGAGUUUCAUCGAGUAAAGCUGCAACAUUUGGACUCGGGGCUAUUCAGGUCAUUGUUACUGCUAUAGCUGCAUCACUUGUGGACAGGGCGGGUCGCAGAGUACUUCUUAUUAUGUCCUCGUCGUUAAUGACAAUUAGUAGCUUCCUUGUUGCAAUAGCAUUCUACCUGAAGGAUCUUACGCCCGAAUAUUGGCAUCCUGCCUUGGGAAUAUUAUCUCUGGUUGGACUUGUGGUUUUGGUGAUGGCAUUUGGUCUGGGAUUAGGGUCCAUUCCAUGGAUCAUAAUGUCUGAGAUACUACCAGUGAACAUUAAAAGUCUUGGAGGCAGUGUUGCUACACUGGCCAAUUGGCUAACAUCAUGGGUUGUUACAAUGACAGCAAACUUGCUUUUGACUUGGAGCGAAGGAGGAACAUUCAUUAUUUAUGCAGUGAUGUCGGCUUCUACAGUUGUUUUUGUUAGACUUUGGGUUCCUGAAACCAAAGGAAGAACACUUGAAGAGAUUCAGCGUUCCUUCAGAUGAUCAUGAAACCAACUAUGCAAUUAAAGAGUAUCAAAUAGAACGAGUUCUCCAAAUAGGGAAGUAAUUGAGCAAAUGUUUGAGACACGCACGUACUGCAGAUAUAGAUUGCUCUGGUGAAUAUUGCUUUAGGUCAACAAUUCAAAUUUCAAGUGGGUUAUUAUUAUAAUUUUUGAAUUUCCUUAUUA